rnacentral:rRNA from 1 species
UACGUAGGGGGCAAGCGUUGUCCGGAUUCAUUGGGCGUAAAGAGCGUGUAGGCGGCCAGAUAGGUCUGCUGUGAAAACUCGAGGCUUAACCUCGAGAUGUCGGCGGAAACCAUCUGGCUAGAGUCCGGAAGAGGAGAGCGGAAUUCCUGGUGUGAGCGGUGAAAUGCGCAGAAUAUCAGGAAGAACACCCGUCGGCGAAGGCG